CAACUACUCCCUCUGUCCCAAAUUUCUUGUCUUAGAUUUGUCUAGAUACGGAUGUAUCUAAUACUAAAACGUGACUUGAUACAUCCGUAUCUAGACAAAUCUAAGACAAGAAAUUUGGGACAGAGGGAGUAGUUG
rnacentral:pre_miRNA from 1 species